GACGAACGCUGGCGGCGCGCCUAACACAUGCAAGUCGAACGGAGCUGAGAGAAGCUUGCUUUUCUUAGUUUAGUGGCGAACGGGUGAGUAACGCGUGAGUAACCUGCCCUGGAGUGGGGGACAACAGUUGGAAACGACUGCUAAUACCGCAUAAGCCCACGAUCCGGCAUCGGAUUGAGGGAAAAGGAUUUAUUCGCUUCAGGAUGGACUCGCGUCCAAUUAGCUAGUUGGUGAGGUAACGGCCCACCAAGGCGACGAUUGGUAGCCGGACUGAGAGGUUGAACGGCCACAUUGGGACUGAGACACGGCCCAGACUCCUACGGGAGGCAGCAGUGGGGGAUAUUGCACAAUGGGGGAAACCCUGAUGCAGCGACGCCGCGUGGAGGAAGAAGGUUUUCGGAUUGUAAACUCCUGUCGUUAGGGACGAUAAUGACGGUACCUAACAAGAAAGCACCGGCUAACUACGUG
rnacentral:rRNA from 1 species